rnacentral:lncRNA from 1 species
UUAAACCUUGCCUGUGUCUCUCAUUUGAAUUCUCUGCGUUGAGAAGUCAAACUACCAAGUUUGCUGCAGAGUUGCCACUCUGGAGUUUCUUCGGACAGCUCACCAGCUGGUAAUGUACUUCGGUGCCAUGACUCAGAUCCAUCAUCUAGUGUUUACCCCACCUGUGUUUAACAAAGAGGCCACCAUCUCACCUUGAGAAGCAGACAUCCAGACAGCAUUAGAUCUGCAAGAGAUUUAUUGGAGAAAAUGACUGUGAAGAAUAGAAGAAAAACUUCAGACCACAAUGCAGAUUUGACCUGUGUGAAGAAGAGUGGAAAGAAGGAGGUUUGAGCAGAAAAAGCAUCAGACUACAGUGAAGUUCUGAGAAAAAUAUGGCCAGGGUAAAGCAUCCUCCAGUCAAAGUCACCUGUCAGAGGAGUCCUACUUUCCAAAGGAAUGACUCAGCAUCUUACAGAGUUCUCUCAGUAAUUGGCUGGGAGCAGCAUAGGAGAAGGAGAGCUUUGAUAUAGAUGUGAGUCUACAGAAGCCUCAGCUGGGAUUGUCAGUCAACUAUUCUCCCUAAAGCAGGAGAUUUGAGUGGCUUAUUUCCAUGGCCACUACUCAAUAAGUAGUACAGAGGCUUAAGCAAUCCACCACGGCCUCACAAGUAUUUAGGACCAAAGGCUCAUACCACCACACAGAGCUAAUCUUUAUUUUUUUAAUUUCGUAGGGUCAGAGGUCUCACUAUAUU